rnacentral:rRNA from 1 species
AGACGUCUACAUUAGAUACCCCCGUAGUCCCAGCCGUAAACUAUGCGCGUUAGGUGUAUCGGUGACCACGAGUUACCGAGGUGCCGAAGGGAAACCGUGAAACGUGCCGCCUGGGAAGUACGGUCGCAAGGCUGAAACUUAAAGGAAUUGGUGGGGGAGCACCACAACAGGUGGAGCCUGCGGUUUAAUUGGACUCAACGCCGGGAAGCUCAACGGAUAGGACAGCAGAAUGAUUGCCGGGCUGAAGACCCUGCAUGACUAGCUG